GGGGGAUAUUGCACAAUGGGGGAAACCCUGAUGCAGCGACGCCGCGUGGAGGAAGAAGGUUUUCGGAUUGUAAACUCCUGUCGUUAGGGACGAUAAUGACGGUACCUAACAAGAAAGCACCGGCUAACUACGUGCCAGCAGCCGCGGUAAAACGUAGGGUGCAAGCGUUGUCCGGAAUUACUGGGUGUAAAGGGAGCGCAGGCGGGAAGACAAGUUGGAAGUGAAAACCAUGGGCUCAACCCAUGAAUUGCUUUCAAAACUGUUUUUCUUGAGUAGUGCAGAGGUAGAUGGAAUUCCCGGUGUAGCGGUGGAAUGCGUAGAUAUCGGGAGGAACACCAGUGGCGAAGGCGGUCUACUGGGCACCAACUGACGCUGAGGCUCGAAAGCAUGGGUAGCAAACAGGAUUAGAUACCCUGGUAGUCCAUGCCGUAAACGAUGAUUACUAGGUGUUGGGGGAUUGACCCCCUCAGUGCCGCAGUUAACACAAUAAGUAAUCCACCUGGGGAGUACGACCGCAAGGUUGAAACUCAAAGGAAUUGACGGGGGCCCGCACAAGCAGUGGAGUAUGUGGUUUAAUUCGAAGCAACGCGAAGAACCUUACCAGGUCUUGACAUCCGAUGCAUAGCACAGAGAUGUGUGAAAUCCUUCGGGACAUCGAGACAGGUGGUGCAUGGUUGUCGUCAGCUCGUGUCGUGAGAUGUUGGGUUAAGUCCCGCAACGAGCGCAACCCUUAUUGCCAGUUACUACGUUAAGAGGACUCUGGCGAGACUGCCGUUGACAAAACGGAGGAAGGUGGGGAUGACGUCAAAUCAUCAUGCCCUUUAUGACCUGGGCUACACACGUACUACAAUGGCGUUAAACAAAGAGAAGCAAGACCGCGAGGUGGAGCAAAACUUCAAAAAUGGUCUCAGUUCGGACUGCAGGCUGCAACCCGCCUGCACGAAGUUGGAAUUGCUAGUAAUCGUGGAUCAACAUGCCACGGUGAAUACGUUCCCG
rnacentral:rRNA from 1 species